CACGUAGGGGCCAAGCGUUGUCCGGAUUUAUUGGGCGUAAAGAGCUCGUAGGCGGCUCGGUAAGUCAGGUGUGAAACCUCCAGGCUCAACCUGGAGACGCCACCUGAUACUGCUGUGGCUAGAGUCCGGUAGGGGAGCGUGGAAUUCCUGGUGUAGCGGUGAAAUGCGUAGAGAUGUGGAGGAACACCAGUGGCGAAGGCGACUCUUUGGUCUGUAACUGACGCUGAGGCGCGAAAGCGUGGGGAGCAAACAGG
rnacentral:rRNA from 1 species